GCACUGCUGAAGAGUCGCACAAUAGGACGAAACGGCUGUCCAGUGC
rfam:Schistosoma haematobium scaffold280_21, whole genome shotgun sequence.